rnacentral:rRNA from 1 species
AUUGAACGCUGGCGGCAUGCUUUACACAUGCAAGUCGAACGGCAGCACGGGUGCUUGCACCUGGUGGCGAGUGGCGAACGGGUGAGUAAUGCAUCGGAACGUGCCCAUGAGUGGGGGAUAGCCCGGCGAAAGCCGGAUUAAUACCGCAUACGCCCUUAGGGGGAAAGCGGGGGAUCUUCGGACCUCGCGCUAUUGGAGCGGCCGAUGUCGGAUUAGCUAGUAGGUGAGGUAAAGGCUCACCUAGGCGACGAUCCGUAGCUGGUCUGAGAGGGUGAUCAGCCACACUGGGACUGAGACACGGCCCAGACUCCUACGGGAGGCAGCAGUGGGGAAUUUUGGACAAUGGGCGCAAGCCUGAUCCAGCCAUGCCGCGUGAGUGAAGAAGGCCUCGGUUGUAAG